rnacentral:rRNA from 1 species
CUCAAAGGAAUUGACGGGUCCCCCGCACAAGCGGCGGAGCAUGCGGCUUAAUUCGAUGCAACCCGAAGAACCUUACCUGGGCUUGACAUCAUGGGAAAAGCCGUAGAGAUACGGUGUGCAUUUAGCGUCCAUGACAGGUGGUGCAUGGCUGUCGUCAGCUCGUGUCGUGAGAUGUUGGGUUAAGUCCCGCAACGAGCGCAACCCUUGUCCUAUGUUGCCAGCGGUUCGGCCGGGGACUCAUAGGAGACUGCCGGGGACAACUCGGAGGAAGGUGAGGACGACGUCAAGUCAUCAUGCCCCUUAUGUCCAGGGCUGCACGCAUGCUACAAUGGCCGGUACAACGGGCUGCGAUCCCGCGAGGGUGAGCGAAUCCCUUAAAGCCGGCCUCAGUUCGGAUUGGAGUCUGCAACUCGACUCCAUGAAGUCGGAGUCGCUAGUAAUCGCGGAUCAGCAAAAGCCGCGGUGAAUGUGUUCCUGAGCCUU